CAGGAUGUGGUCAAGUGUUGCU
rnacentral:miRNA from 1 species